rnacentral:tRNA from 1 species
AAAGAUUUAAGUUAAAAAAACUAAUAGCCUUCAAAGCUUUAAAUGAUCCUAAAUCAAUCUUUA